rnacentral:rRNA from 1 species
GAUGAACGCUAGCUACAGGCUUAACACAUGCAAGUCGAGGGGAAACGCCAUCGAAAGCUUGUUUUUGAUGGGCGUCGACCGGCGCACGGGUGAGUAACGCGUAUCCAACCUGCCCAUCACUUGGGAAUAACCUUGCGAAAGUAAGACUAAUACCCAAUGAUAUCCCACGAAGGCAUCGGAAUGGGAUUAAAGAUUUAUCGGUGAUGGAUGGGGAUGCGUCUGAUUAGCUUGUUGGCGGGGUAACGGCCCACCAAGGCAACGAUCAGUAGGGGUUCUGAGAGGAAGGUCCCCCACAUUGGAACUGAGACACGGUCCAAACUCCUACGGGAGGCAGCAGUGAGGAAUAUUGGUCAAUGGGCGAGAGCCUGAACCAGCCAAGUAGCGUGCAGGAAGACGGCCCUAUGGGUUGUAAACUGCUUUUAUAAGGGAAUAAAGUGGGUCACGUGUGACUUUUUGCAUGUACCUUAUGAAUAAGGACCGGCUAAUUCCGUG